GUUGAACGCUGGCGGCAUGCCUUACACAUGCAAGUCGAACGGCAGCGGGGGAGAAGCUUGCUUUUCCUGCCGGCGAGUGGCGAACGGGUGAGUAAUACAUCGGAACGUGCCCUGUAGUGGGGGAUAACUAGUCGAAAGAUUAGCUAAUACCGCAUACGACCUGAGGGUGAAAGUGGGGGACCGCAAGGCCUCAUGAUAUAGGAGCGGCCGAUGUCUGAUUAGCUAGUUGGUGGGGGAAAGGCCUACCAAGGCGACGAUCAGUAGCUGGUCUGAGACGACGAUCAGCCACACUGGGACUGAGACACGGCCCAGACUCCUACGGGAGGCAGCAGUGGGGAAUUUUGGACAAUGGGCGAAAGCCUGAUCCAGCAAUGCCGCGUGUGUGAAGAAGGCCUUCGGGUUGUAAAGCACUUUUGUCCGGAAAGAAAUGGCUCUGGUUAAUACCUGGGGUCGAUGACGGUACCGGAAGAAUAAGGACCGGCUAACUACGUGCCAGCCGCCGCGGUAA
rnacentral:rRNA from 1 species